rnacentral:rRNA from 1 species
AACCCCUAUUGUUAGUUGCCAUCAUUCAGUUGGGCACUCUAGCGAGACUGCCGGUAAUAAAACCGGAGGAAGGUGGGGAUGACGUCAAAUCAUCAUGCCCCUUAUGACCUGGGCUACACACGUGCUACAAUGGUUGGUACAACGAGUUGCGAGUCGGUGACGGCGAGCUAAUCUCUUAAGGCCAAUCUCAGUUCGGAUUGUAGGCUGCAACUCGCCUACAUGAAGUCGGAAUCGCUAGUAAUCGCGGAUCAGCACGCCGCGGUGAAUACGUUCCCGGGCCUU